rnacentral:lncRNA from 1 species
AGGAUAUCAAAACUAUAGUAGCAAGACAACUGUAAAGAAAGAACUAGAAGUAUAUAUGCAACAACCGCUACUAUAGCUAUAUGCGUCAACCGGACGAGAAGUCCAAACGUACCCAAUCUAAACCGCCGUGUCGGUCUAAGGACCUCAGGCAAAAGCCACUACCUGCUCACACCUGGCAUGUAACCCUAGCACAAAGAGAACACCACUGGGCUCACGGGUCGGAUGUACGACCACUUUUCCGAAAAUGAACACCCUCCUGCGGGGGAUCAACACGCUGGUGUACGUGAAAUGCACUCGAGCUGUGGCAAUCAAUGCGGAUAUGAUCAAUAGCCAACCGUCGGCAAUCAGCCGACAAUCAUUGCCCCUCUGGGCAUACCGAUCGUGUAGGUCAUCAAGUAACAACGUGAACCGACCGAGAUAGGUCAAUGUACGGAAAGUGACGAACGACCAAACAGGUCACCGAUGCAAAUAGGAGAACCGACCAACCAGGUCACAAGUAUAGUAUAUACGAAUGCCAUCUACUCUACCCCUAUACAGGAUACUACACAUAGAACAACCAGGCAGAGUAAAUAAAGAUAGUAUGUAGAUACUGCACGAUGUCAACUAAAAGUACGAACGCAAGAACCGACCGAUAGGUCACAGGAGUGUAUUCGAUAUAGUCCAGAACUACCGUCAGCACCAGCCGACAAUCCUACCCCUCAGGGUACACCGACCUCAAAGGUCAUCG